CUACGGGCUGCACCAGUGGGGAAUAUUGGGCAAUGGGCGCAAGCCUGACCCAGCAACGCCGCGUGAGGGAAGAAGGUUUUCGGAUUGUAAACCUCUGUCCUUGGGGACGAAGAAGUGACGGUACCCAAGGAGGAAGCUCCGGCUAACUACGUGCCAGCAGCCGCGGUAAUACGUAGGGAGCAAGCGUUGUCCGGAAUUACUGGGCGUAAAGGGUGCGUAGGCGGCAUAUUAAGUCAGGUGUGAAAUACUCGGGCUCAACCCGGGGGCUGCAUUUGAAACUGAUAUGCUUGAGUGUGAGAGAGGAAAGUGGAAUUCCUAGUGUAGCGGUGGAAUGCGUAGAUAUUAGGAGGAACACCAGUGGCGAAGGCGACUUUCUGGCUCAUAACUGAUGCUGAGGCACGAAAGCGUGGGGAGCAAACAGGAUUAGAUACCCUAGUAGUC
rnacentral:rRNA from 1 species